rnacentral:rRNA from 1 species
UACGUAGGGGGCAAGCGUUGUCCGGAAUCAUUGGGCGUAAAGCGCACGUAGGCGGAUUUGUAAGUCAGGGGUGAAAUCCCGGGGCUCAACCUCGGAACUGCCUUUGAUACUGCAAAUCUCGAGUCCGGAAGAGGUGAGUGGAAUUCCUAGUGUAGAGGUGAAAUUCGUAGAUAUUAGGAAGAACACCAGUGGCGAAGGCGGCUCACUGGUCCGGUACUGACGCUGAGGUGCGAAAGCGUGGGUAGCGAACAGG